AUGGCGACCGGCGCACGGGUGAGUAACGCGUAUCCAACCUGCCCUUUACUAUGGGACAGCCCGUCGAAAGGCGGAUUAAUACCGUAUGUUGUCAUGUUGAUGCAUAUUUUCAUGACCAAAGGCUUCGGCCGGUAAAGGAUGGGGAUGCGUCUGAUUAGCUUGCCGGCGGGGUAACGGCCCACCGGGGCGACGAUCAGUAGGGGUUCUGAGAGGAAGGUCCCCCACAUUGGAACUGGGACACGGUCCAAACUCCUACGGGAGGCAGCAG
rnacentral:rRNA from 1 species